UCACUCAGCUUAUCUAGUCCACAGGCCUGUAUUGUAUCAUCACUCCCAGAAUGUCACUCAGCUUAUCUAGUCCAUAGGCCUGUAGUGUAUCAUCACUCCCAGAAUGUCACUCAGUUUAUCUAGUCCACAGGCCUGUAGUGUAUCAUCACUCAGUUUAUCUAGUCCACAGGCCUGUAGUGUAUCAUCACUCCCAGAAUGUCACUCAGCUUAUCUAGUCCACAGGACUGUAGUGUAUCAUCACUCCCAGAAUGUCACUCAGUUUAUCUAGUCCACAGGCCUGUAGUGUAUCAUCACUCAGUUUAUCUAGUCCACAGGCCUGUAGUGUAUCAUCACUCCCAGAAUGUCACUCAGCUUAUCUAGUCCACAGGCCUGUAGUGUAUCAUCACUCCCAGAAUGUCACUCAGUUUAUCUAGUCCACAGGCCUGUAGUGUAUCAUCACUCCCAGAAUGUCACUCAGCUUAUCUAGUCCACAGGCCUGUAGUGUAUCAUCACUCAGCUUCUCUAGUCCACAGGCCUGUAGUGUAUCAUCACUCCCAGAAUGUCACUCUGUCUCUAUCCAUUUUAGUUUUCAUCAAGAAUAGUUAGUCGAAGGCCACAAGGCGUUCACUAGCUUUUUGAUUCAGCUUGUUACAAAGUGCUUUAUGUUGCUCUUUCUUAAUGGUCUUACUAACCAAGGUGAGCCAGUCUAAUGACAGAGGUGUCAUAAUGAGUUGACUUCCUGAUCAAAGGCCUUGACAUGAUCUCUUUUCAGUAGUUUCAGAUACUUCCUCUGUUCAACUUUCUCUAUCGGGACGUGUCAAAUGCAGCAUAUUAUUUUUUUUUUACUUAGCCUUGGUCAGUGGCAGGUCUGGAUUAUUGUUCAUAAUGACACUAAAUAUACAUUCCUCCAUUUUAAGUAACCUCUAAGAUAUGACAAUCAUGAAUGAGAUGAGGGAUAAAUAAAGAUUGUAGUGUUUUAUACCUAAUCUAUGGAUUUAUCAUGGGCCUUUUUUUUAACUAUUGUUGAAUUUUAAGAUGUUAAGAAAAUAUGAUGUUUGACAGAAUAGAUGUGUAUUUAUUGUUGAAAAAUCCAAAGUGCCGUGAAGGUGAUUGAUAGUGUUCUGCUCUUUAUUUUAGUCAGAGUAGUGUUGGGCUAAAUGCGACACGGUUGGUUGGGUAAACCAUGCUGGCGUGAUGAGUAGCCUUGUCUGAGACUAAAAACUUGACUUAGCUCAGCGGCUAACAGUUGUGACACGCAGAACACUCAUUUGUGUAAGUGUGUGUGAACACGCAUGUAAUAUACAGGUAACUGACUAAAUAAACGAUACAUCAAAUUAAAUGUUAUUUGUCAUAUGCGCCGUGUAAACCUUACCGUGAACAAGCCCUACCAACAAUGCAGUUCAAGAAAUAGUUAAGAAAAUAUUUACUAAAUAAACGAACGUUUAAAAAAAAAUCGAAUCAAAAAGUAACACAAGAAAUGUACAUAACAAUAACGAGGCUAUAUACAGGGGUUACUGGUUAGUCGAGGUAAUUUGUAGAGACUAUGCAUAGAUAAAAACAGCGAGUAGCAGCAGUGUAAAAACAAAAGGGGAGGGUCAAUGUAAAUGGUCCGGGUGGCCAUUUGUGUCUUAAUUAGGGAGUUUGGCCAGCUGCAAUCUACCGGUGUCUGGAACUCUAUCCGAGGGAUGCGAAACCAUUCUUCCAAGAGAAAAUACAUCAUUUGUUGUUUUUAUUGGUGAAAAACGCGGUCUCGGACGCCACUACAAAAUUUCCCAUAAGUGUUCUAUUGGGUUGAUCUGCAUUUUGUCCGUUUUUCUAAAAUCUAUCCCGAUUAAAUGCAUAGAAGUAGAAUAGGACGAGAGUCCCAAUUCUGAUCAAUAAUUUGUCCGUUCCAUUCAUUAUUUCUAUGCAUUUAAUCCUAUCCGAUAACUUUUGAAAAACGGCCCCGGUGACAGAUGACCAUGGCAUAUGUGGGUGGGGGCAUUGUCACCUACGGGGACAUGGCCAUAGUAGCAAAAAUAAUGGCAUGCCCAUAAUUUUUAGACGUGACCCUAAGCCUGAUGGGAUGUUAAUUGCUUAAUUAACUCACACAUGUGUGAAAACACCGGCUUACAAUAAACAUUGGCCUAUUAUGAAUUUUAUUUGCUCACCUCGCCCUAUCGCGGCUCCUUCUGAAAAAGUCAAUGAAUGUUAAUCGAGGAGAGUGAACGUGGAUGGAAUGCCGCGUGCUUAAAUUUUAGACCGUUCUUCUCCACUCGUGCGUCAUUAGGCAAGUGACGUUUACAGGGGUGGAUCGCAAAAUAAAUGAAGUUGUACAAUACAUUUUAUAGAUAAAACAAUAAGUAGCAUAUGGUUUUUAAACAUGUGCAUGUUUUUCCUCAUCGGACAAAACAAAAGCUAAUUCAAAGGGGGUGUGGCAGAUUUCAAAACUCUUCCGUGAUAGGAUACACAUGAGUAUCCUUGAUGGAAGGUUUCUAUCGAGGAGGGGAGGACAUUCUUACGUGCGUUUGCCUACUAACAAAGAUGAUGGAUCUUCUUCUCUGCUACUAACUCAUUGACACACUCCUCGACUACUUAUCGGUUUCUGGGUCACGGAGGACGGUCUUUUGCUUAAACGAGAAAAAAAAACCCUGGUAUCCCGAAUUUACUCAAGUGUUUCCAUUAUUUUGACAGUUACCUGUACAUUCAUUAUACCUUACCUCAGACACACAGCUUCUGCAGUGUUUUGACUUGCCAGUAGGGAGCAGUGUUGGAUCAGGACGGUAUACAGUAUCUACACUGAGUGUACAAAACAACUCAAUAUUAGGAAGUUGUUCUUAAUGUUUUGUACACUCAGUGUAUGUCUGUCUGAAUAGUACUACCUAUUUACAAGGACAACUGGCAUUUGCUCUGUUUUUCAUCUGGUCAAGAAGUUAUAGUAUACUGCAGUCUAGAACCAAUGUAUUUUUCUGAAACAGCACAAUCCUAACAAAUGCCACACUUGGAAUGUCUGACUGAGGAAUGAGAAUGUUGGCUUGUUUGACUAGGAGAGAGCUAGUAUGGGAGUGUUUGGAAUGAGAUAGUAAAUGCCUGGCUCGGUAAAGGACUGUAAAAUGCCAAACCUCAUGGAUAUUGGAAAACAGUAAUGAAUGUAAAUCAUGUGUAUGUAUUGACAAAGGGUACCACACACUGGCAAUUUGAAUCCUUGAGGAGCGUGGGAUGGGCAUGUUGAUAAGGCCAUUCAGAGUAUUCAUAAUUCCAUCUCUGAUUUGCUUAUUUGAAUUUAUAAUAAAUACUCAUAUAUCCAAAAAUCAUAACGAUGAUCAAACCGCAUCACUUACCAACUCUUAAAAUGACCAGUCUGGAAGGUCUCUGAGAGAAACCAAAGCAGCCAGUUGUUUUGUGUCUGCACGUCAUCGCCAAGGACAAGGUAUAAUAGAAAACAAAGGUUACGUAUAUAACCACGGUUAUGUGAGCUAUAUGGAUCACUCCAAUAUAUUGGUAUCACCCUGUGGCGGAGGGAUACAUCCGAGGUGAGGAUUUACAGAUUUACACCUGUGUCACAGCUGGGGUCCGCCCCUAUAUAUAGAACCCAUGACCGCGACACACGUUCUCAACAUCAUUUUUGAGGCGACUCUAGCACCGCAAAGGAUUGGAGUGAUCCAUAUAGCUCACAUAACCGUGGUUAUGCAUAACCUUCAUUGUGUUUCACUAUAUUGGAUCACUCCAAUAUAUUGUUAUACCCAUACCAGAUUAGUCGGUGCUAGAGGGACCUGGUCAGCCAGCUGCACAGUCCCAAUGUGGGACCCGAGAUGCAGGGGCUGUCAAUGUGGAAGGGGGGUCCCGGCACAGUCCCCGGAAGGGGAGGCGACACCCAGGAACGCUGAACCAACCGCAGAAGGAGGUGCCACAUUUACCCGACAGUACCUAGUAAAGGUGCAAGAGGAAGCCCAGCUGGCCGCAGAACUUAUAUCAGCUAGUGGCACUCAUCUCAGUUGUGCCCAGGACUCAGCCACACCUCGUGUUGAAUGUGCCACCACACAUCCCAGCACUGUCCUCCCAGCCAGGCGGUAUGCUGUCGUAAUGGUGUCCACAAUCCAGUGAGGGAGCCUCUGCUUUGAUAGCCCAGCCCCCAGGGCUCUCUCACCGUAGCAGACAAAGAGCUUGUCUGUUGUUCUCAUUGACUGUGUCUGCUCCACAUAGGCAGCCAGUGCUUGCACAGGACACAGCAUGCCGGAGGGAGGCCCAAACUUCCUGCUAUUUCCGGGGGCGUAAGCAGAACCUUCGGGAUGAAUGAAGAUUUGGGGUGGAAAGAUAUACUCCUCCCACCAGGGUCCAUCUGGUAGCCCUCAGAACUUACCAAAAAGCAUGGAGCUCACCCACCCUCUUCGUGGAAGUAAUCGCUACCAAGAACACCAGCUUCAUAGAGAGGUGUUUCAGGGAGGCAGACUCCAACGUUUUGAAAGGCGGCUUUGCCAAAGCUGCCAAGACCACAUCCAUAUCCCGGCUCGCCAUUGAGCGGGUCCUAGCUGGACGCAGGUGAUGAACACCCUUCAUAAACCUGGAGAGCAAGGGAUAGCACCCCACCAGCCUGUCCAUCCACCCCACAUGUCAGGCAGAUAUAGCGGCCAAAUACUCUCUGUGUAGAUGCUGCCAAGCCCUCAUCCAAGCAAGACUGUAGGUAUUGGAGGACACACUGCACCCCGCAUGUCUCAGGCACAACCUCAAUACCAGCGCACCAAGAGCAGAACAACUGGUUUGCUGCAGUUGUAGCCUGUGCCCUUGAGCCCUUGUGUUCUGCAUGGUGUUCAUUACACCCUCCUGUAGUCCUAACAUGGACCAUCGGCGGUGCGAUAGUAAGGCGGUGUGGUCUCGGCCUCCACAGAGUUCGCCCAUCAGGUCUCAGGGGCAGUUGCCAAGGUGUCCCAGACAACAGGGACAGAAGGCUGAACCAGGGUAGUCUGGGCCAGUAUGGGUUCACCAGCAGCAGACAAUGCUCCGCCAUCCUGGUCCUGUCCAGCAUAGCCUGGAUCAGGGGAUGAAGAGUGGGGAAUGCGUAAAGCUCAAGCCCUGGCCAAUCGUGAGCUAGAGCAUCCAAACCCAGAGGCCCUGAUGGAUCUGACAUGGAGUACCACAGGGGGCAGUGUGCAUUGCCCAGGAAGGCAGACCAGUCCACUUACGCCCUCCCAAACUUGUUCCACAGGUGCUGCACGACCUGGGGAUGUAGGCUCCAGUCCCAAGGUGGCGGUCCAUUCCUUGAGAGCAUAUCUGCUGCCACAAUCAGGAUGCCAGGUACGUGUGCUGCGUAUAGAGACGUUAGACGCCCCUGAGGCCAGAGAAGGAGCUCCUGUGCCAUAAGAUGGAGGCGGUAGGACCUCAGGCCACCCUGAUGGUUGAUGUAAGCCACCACUGUGGUGUUGUCCGUUCUCACCAGGACAUGUAUUCCCUUCAGAUGUGGAAGAAAAGACCGCAGAGCCAGCAGCACAGCUCAGAACUGUAGUGUAUUGAUGUGCCUGCCACUCCAAGGGGGUAGCCAACAGCCACUUGCCGACCUGCCCUUGGUCACACCCUCCCAGCCGAUCUGGGAGGCGUCUGUGCUGACCAGCUCCCGGCGGCAUUUCCUCAGCAUCUUCACCCCACCUGAGUGAAAGGAGCGACAGCGCCACCUCAACAAUGCCCUGAGGCACUGUGCGGUAACCCGCAGCUAGUGGUGACGGUGGCGGUUCGGGUGCAGCCGGUGGGAGUUGAACUGCUGCUGAAGAGGCCAGAGAUGGAGCAGGCCCAGGGGAAACGAGGCCGCCGUUGCAACAAGGCGUUGUCAGGGCAGAUACCACCACCCCUGCUGAAAGUGGUCGAGGCAAGAUAAGAUUGCCUGAACCCUUCUGGUGGGCAGGCGUGCUCUCAUGAGGACAGAGUCCAGUUUGACCACCCUCUGGGUGGGCAUCAGACGUCUAUUCUUGUCAUUUACAGUAAUGCCCAACCCACCGAUGUGGGUCAGAAGCAUGUCUCUGUCUGACAGGACCUUGGUCCUGGUCGGGGUACAAAUCAGCCAAUCGUCCAUGUAAUAGAGGAUCAACAAUACUCAAGACAUGAGACGUGCCAGGACAGCGUCCAUGCACUUUGUGAAAGUGUGGGGUGCCAAGGAGAAGCCUAAGGGAAGAACCAUGAAUUCGUAAGCCAUCCCUUCUAACACAAAUCGGAGGUCUUGCAAAUGAGCCGGGUGAACAGGAACAUGGAAGUAAGCAUCCCUCAGGUCCAGUGUCACAAACCUCUGGUCCCUGGACACACCCUGCAACAUGCGGGCUGGGGACAGCAUGUGGAACCUCAGUACCUUCAAGUACCCAUUGAGGUUGCGGAGGUCCAGAAUCCGUCAAAACCCUCCGUCUCUUUUUGGGAUGACAAAACAAGUGGAGUAGAACCCACCUAACCGCUCUGAUGUCUCGAUCCUGUGGAUGGCACCCUUAUCCAGGAGUGAGGAGAUCUCCAUCCGCAGGGUUUUCUUCAGGGGGUCGACCACCUUGGUGACAUGAAGGCCCCUGAAGGACGGUGGCCGGAAUUGGAGUCGGUACCCCUCGAGCAUUGUGGACAACACCCAUGGGGACUCCACACCCUCCUCCCACUUUGCCCUUUGAGACCGGGAGAAGCGGCCGGGGAUGGGUGUGUUAUGGGUCCUGCCAGGGCCCGCCUCUCCUCUGGCUCCCCAAGCGCCUGGGUCCCCCAGGCACGUCCCUAUGGUGGUGACGGUUGACCAUCACACCUGUCAAAGGGAAGCCAUAAGUUCAGCCAAGCCAACAAGGCCACGGAGCAGGGCUCCGAUGCCCUGGGAGAGCUUAUGUCGUGACCCACUUGGAGGAAUAGGAACCUGGUGAGGGAUAAAUUACCCAGUAACUCUGCAAAAAAUGGGGAAGACCCGUGUGGGAAAAACACAGACCAAAAAAAAACAGCAACCAGGUAAUGGAUUUGAUUUUUUUUACUGCAAUAUUACCUUUAAUAUCCAAGCAGUAAAAGCAGCAACAUAUGAUGGAGUAACUCCGUUAAGGAACUCCAAAGUUAAUGUCUCAAAGUAGUGGAAGUCCACCACGAUACUCUUACACUCUGCAAGGGUAAGAACAAGAAAAACCCCUGCAGGAUCAUUUGCAAAGAAUGUAGGUUGCUUCAUGUUUAAAGCAAUUCACAACACACAUAUAGAACAAGCCAGUGGGCAAGUUGUGUAAGGUAAAUGACUGUUUGUGGCAGCAAGAGUCACCAUACUAAUGGACACGGACUCGUAGUGUAACACGAACAAAACACAAGUACGACAAACCGCUCUCAGCGAGUGGAGCACUCAAGAGGAGGGGCUGGCCAUGUGGCCAGCUGCUCCAGGUUGCAAACAGCCAGUGAGUAUACUUCCAUGCAAGAUAUUAGUUACCAGGGACUGACCAAGCGAACUUCAGAAAGUUUGUACCUCAAGCCAUAUGGACGUCCGCCGAGAAAAUGAAAGAGAACGUGUGUCACGGCCAUGGGGUCUAUAUAUAGGGGCUGACCCCAGCCGUGACACAAGUGUACAUGGGAGUAAAUCCUCACCCCGGAUGUAUCCCUCCGCCGCAGAGUGAUACCAAUAUAUUGGAGUUAUCCAAUAUAGUGAAACAUAACAACUUGAUAUGAAGCUCACAUAGGAUGUAGUUUCUCUGUUAUUAGCUGGAGUGGGUGGUUGGGUUGUGGCUGGACUCUGUUAUCUGCUAAUAAUGUCUGAAUGCAGUGUUUCCUGUAUCAUUACAAUUCACUUUGUUGCCCCAAGGCCAAAAUGUUUGAUAUGCAGCCAUGAAUGUUGGUUCAAGGACCUCUGUAGCCCUUCACAGAAACCCUACGGACCAAGCACUUGAAUGAUACUGAAUUUUGAAUCAUUUUCUUCUUGUACUUAAUGUACUCUUGUCUUAUUUCAUCUGAUAUAAUGGAUGAACUCUCCUUGUUCCAACUACACCCACCACCACGAAAUUAGAUUGGAUUCAAUCUAACAGGCUUUAACUCUUGACCCGGGCUAAAUUUAUUCUCCAAAACGACUGAGUUAGUUAUUCUGUCGCCAACUAAAUAAAAGACUCCACGGAUUAACUGUU